rnacentral:rRNA from 1 species
AAAUGAAUAGACGGGGGCCCGCACAAGCGGUGGAGCAUGUGGUUUAAUUCGAUGCAACGCGAAGAACCUUACCAGGUCUUGACAUCCAGGGGAUUCCUUGGAAACAAGGGAGUGCCAUUCAGGAACCCUGAGACAGGUGGUGCAUGGUUGUCGUCAGCUCGUGUCGUGAGAUGUUGGGUUAAGUCCCGCAACGAGCGCAACCCUUGCUAUUAGUUGCUAACAGGUAGAGCUGAGCACUCUAAUGGGACUGCCUGUGACAAGCAGGAGGAAGGUGGGGAUGACGUCAAAUCAUCAUGCCCUUUAUGAUCUGGGCUACACACGUGCUACAAUGGGUGGUACAGAGAGCAGCGAGACAGUGAUGUGGAGCGAAUCUCAAAAAGCCAUUCUCAGUUCGGAUUGUAGUCUGCAACUCGACUACAUGAAGGAGGAAUCGCUAGUAAUCGCGAAUCAGCAUGUCGCGGUGAAUACGUUCCCGGGCCUUGUACACACCGCCCGU